AUUCACUUUGGCUGUAUAUACAUUAAAAUUGGAAUAAUACAAAGAAAAUUAGCAAGGCCCCUAUGCAAGGAUGAGAUACAAAUUUGUGAAGAGCUUGGUAUUAUU
ensembl:snRNA U6 U6 spliceosomal RNA